UUAACUCAAAUUUGUAUGCAGUUGAAACGUUUGCCUACGUUUGCCGCUAGGGGCGCUGUUCCAACUGCAAACAAAUUUGAGUUA
rnacentral:pre_miRNA from 1 species